rfam:Lupinus angustifolius cultivar Tanjil contig_14027, whole genome shotgun sequence.
UUUUAAAGCCAACCUCACCUGGUAGCAUAAAUUUACUGGAUCCCAUCAAAACUCUCCGGUCAAACAUGUUUGGGCGAAAGUAGUAUUAGGAUGGUUGACCUCCUGAAAAGUCUUCAUGUUACACAUU